UUAUUGCGCGCGAUUACAAGCGCUGAGUCAUAAGUGGGGAGUUAAGAUUAUGUAUCGAAAUAAUCGAAAUUAUUUCUAAAUCAUAUUGAAGAGGUAAAAUUGGUUGCACCUCGUGAGGGUUCCGCCUGUCGGACCAGAAGAACAGCAUCCUGUCGAAAAUGGGUUCUAUGUCAGCGACCGUAUUCGUGCCCUCCGGAAACACCCUGGAAAACGGACCAAUAUGUAAAUAAAUAAAUAUAUAGUUACAAAUCACACAGAUUGAGCUAGCUUUAAAAUUCAAAUGAUUCAGAAACUGCAAAGAGUCUCUAGCUAGUUGAUGUACAAAAUAUCGGCGUUAUAGUAACAUAAGACUGUCACAUUGAAAACUCUCGUCAGAAUGAAAACCGAUGAGAAGAAACGCAUUGAACGGAGUACAAAAGGAAGUCAAGAAAGAUUACACAUGCAAACGGAACUGUGAGCAGAAUGCUUCAAGCGUUGGUGUAAAAUUAGAUCCGACUUCAAUCAAAUGAAAUCGAAUAUGAGGUGGAAACGUACAAAAGCAGCGUGAGAUGCACGGUGACAAAUGAGUGUGCCGAAAUAGAAGAACUGAAACUUAAAAGUAAAGUAGUGAGAAAAGUUGCCAAGAGACGGAAAAUUAACCAUGAUUAUAUUUCAAUAUAUAUAUAUAUAUGGACCUUCAGGUCCAUUUAAGAUUACGUUUUCUGUUUAUUCGCAAUCUCGGCACUAGUAUAUACUACAAUAUACCUAGCUUAAUAUUUUUUAUUGUGCUACUUUUUCAUCUCCGCAUUACUGUAAUUACAUUUUUUUUUGUGCAAUCAGAAUAUUUUUCUAGCUUAUCACAUUCUACGAGUAAGAAAUAGAGUUUUUAAUAAACAAUUUAUUUGCCUACAAAUUUAUCAAGACUUUAAUUAUGUGUAUGUAAUAUGUUAAAAAGGGACAUUAAAACAUUUAUUUGAAUUUAAUCUUGCAUAGGUAUUGGGAAGUGAAUUGUAAUCCUGCGUUAAUUUAAUAAUGUUAUCGUACUAUUCAGGUCAAUUAGGUUCAAAUGAAGAAUAUAUAAUGAUGUUAAAAUUAUCAUGUUGAUUGUACCUUAGGAAUGGUUAUUUUUGAGAUCAUUAUUGUAUCUUAAGACUUUGCUAGUUCGCUACACAGUGGUCUGGCGGUAUCAACUUGGCGGUGACAUAACCAGACUUCGGAUAUAUUUGACCUUCAUUAAUCUGUAAACUAUGUCAACUAUGACCAUUGUCAGUCAGAGCCAGAGCAAACUGGACAAAUUAUUCUAAUUCCUGUGCAAAUCAGUCGUUUCUUGUGUCAAUUUGGCAAGAGUCAAAUCCACAUCCCUUGAGCUAAGUCUUGGUAUAUUUAAUAAUAUAACAGGGAUCUAGAAGAUGUGGUUACGCGAAGUUUUGUAAACAGCGCAGUCGUGGGAU